UAGCAUUUUAUGAAACCACAACCAGGAUUACAUAAAACCAGAAAUUAAGAUUGGUCCAAUGACAUAACCCUACAAAGAGUACAGAUAGCAGAAUAAUGGAUCCUCAAAGAUGUCUGAAUCCUAAUCCUUGAAACCUAUGGGCCUUAUCUAAUUACACAAGAUCUGAAAACUCAAGAUGGUUUCUACCUGCCAUUGCUGGCUUUGAAGAGGAUGAAGAUGGCUACAAACCAAGAAAUGAGGAGGCUUCUAAAAGCUAGGAUUGACCCAUCGAUCAUAGGUCACAGUAAAAGGGAAAACACUUAUGGAUAUGGAGAUGCCACAAAAUUAGAGUAUUUGGGAUCGAAACCAUCACCUCACCUGCCUGGACUCACAAUGAGCAAUACUCUGGGAUCUUUUGAUAUUUGUGGAUUACAUGUUACUGAAAGCCAAUUUACCUGAUUCUGAAAAAUACCAAUGCUUAU
rnacentral:lncRNA from 1 species